rnacentral:lncRNA from 1 species
UGGAUUGAAGGCUAGAUGUGCACUUUUGAACUAAUUUUAGAACAAGUUUCGAUUAAAUCAGAUGUAUUUUUUCCAAAUUUUUUUCCAACAUAAUCGGAGCUACAUCCCAUUUUUUAACCCAAGUCAAACUAAAGCCUAGGCCUCAACAACACAGUUGCAACCUUAAAGAGCAAUAAUGUGUGUAUGUGAAUAUAUGUUUGUGUACACAUGCGUGUGUGCGUGAG